CCUACGGGAGGCAGCAGUGGGGAAUAUUGCGCAAUGGGCGAAAGCCUGACGCAGCGACGCCGCGUGAGGGAUGAAGGUCUUCGGAUCGUAAACCUCUGUCAGCAGGGAAGAACGGUCACUGUGCUAAUCAGCAGUGAAUUGACGGUACCUGCAAAGGAAGCACCGGCUACCCCCGUGCCAGCAGCCGCGGUAAUACGGGGGGUGAGAGCGUUAAUCGGAAUUACUGGGCGUAAAGCGCUCGUUGGAGGUAUGACAAGUCAAGGGUGAAAUACGCGCGCUCAACGUGGGAACUGCCUUUGAAACUGGCAAACUGGAGUGUGAGAGAGGAGAGUGGAAUUACAGGUGUAGGAGUGAAAUCCGUAGAUAUCUGGAGGAACAUCAGUGGCGAAGGCGACUAGCUGGCACAUUACUGACGCUGAGGAGCGAAAGCGUGGGGAGCAAACAGGAUUAGAUACCCCUGUAGUC
rnacentral:rRNA from 1 species